rnacentral:rRNA from 1 species
AUCCUGGCUCAGGACGAACGCUGGCGGCGUGCUUAACACAUGCAAGUCGAACGGAAAGGCCCCCACUAUUUUUGGUGGGGGUGCUCGAGUGGCGAACGGGUGAGUAACACGUGGGUGAUCUGCCCUGUACUUCGGGAUAAGCUUGGGAAACUGGGUCUAAUACCGGAUAGGACCAUGGUUUAGUGUCUCAUGGUGGAAAGAUUAUUGUUUUGGUGCAGGAUGAGCUCGCGGCCUAUCAGCUUGUUGGUGGGGUAAUGGCCUACCAAGGCGUCGACGGGUAGCCGGCCUGAGAGGGUGGACGGCCACAUUGGGACUGAGAUACGGCCCAGACUCCUACGGGAGGCAGCAGUGGGGAAUAUUGCACAAUGGGCGCAAGCCUGAUGCAGCGACGCCGCGUGGGGGAUGACGGCCUUCGGGUUGUAAACUCCUUUCGUUAGGGACGAAGCCACAUUUUUUUUGGGUGUGGUGACGGUACCUUUGUUAAGAAGCACCGGCUAACUACGUGCCAGCAGCCGCGGUAAUACGUAGGGUGCGAGCGUUGUCCGGAAUUACUGGGCGUAAAGAGCUCGUAGGUGGUUUGUUGCGUCGUCUGUGAAAUUCCGGGGCUUAACUUCGGGGUGGCAGGCGAUACGGGCAUAACUAGAGUGCUGUAGGGGAGACUGGAAUUCCUGGUGUAGCGGUGGAAUGCGCAGAUAUCAGGAGGAACACCGAUGGCGAAGGCAGGUCUCUGGGCAGUAACUGACGCUGAGGAGCGAAAGCAUGGGGAGCGAACAGGAUUAGAUACCCUGGUAGUCCAUGCUGUAAACGGUGGGCGUUAGGUGUGGGGACCGGUUUGGUUUCUGUGCCGUAGCUAACGCAUUAAGCGCCCCGCCUGGGGAGUACGGCCGCAAGGCUAAAACUCAAAGGAAUUGACGGGGGC